UUAAUACAUUGAGUCAUUAAAACCUGGGAAACCUUGUAUAAAAGAAUCGCUGACGGUAUAUAUGCCGAAGGUUUUCUUCGCGCAUUCAAGGUCUGUGAGUCGAUGUGUUUUAGUCUGAAACUUGUCGUAGACAUAAAAACGGUUCUUAUUCAAAUUGUCAUAACCUGUCUUUAGAAAAGUUAUACUGAUAAAAUGUUGUUGAGCUGUC
rnacentral:lncRNA from 1 species